UUAGUGGCGAACGGGUGAGUAACGCGUGAGUAACCUGCCCUGGAGUGGGGGACAACAGUUGGAAACGACUGCUAAUACCGCAUAAGCCCACGGCCCGGGCAUCGGGCUGCGGGAAAAGGAUUUAUUCGCUUCAGGAUGGACUCGCGUCCAAUUAGCUAGUUGGUGAGGUAACGGCCCACCAAGGCGACGAUUGGUAGCCGGACUGAGAGGUUGAACGGCCACAUUGGGACUGAGACACGGCCCAGACUCCUACGGGAGGCAGCAGUGGGGGAUAUUGCACAAUGGGGGAAACCCUGAUGCAGCGACGCCGCGUGGAGGAAGAAGGUUUUCGGAUUGUAAACUCCUGUCGUUAGGGACGAUAAUGACGGUACCUAACAAGAAAGCACCGGCUAACUACGUGCCAGCAGCCGCGGUAAAACGUAGGGUGCAAGCGUUGUCCGGAAUUACUGGGUGUAAAGGGAGCGCAGGCGGACCGGCAAGUUGGAAGUGAAAACUAUGGGCUCAACCCAUAAAUUGCUUUCAAAACUGCUGGCCUUGAGUAGUGCAGAGGUAGGUGGAAUUCCCGGUGUAGCGGUGGAAUGCGUAGAUAUCGGGAGGAACACCAGUGGCGAAGGCGACCUACUGGGCACCAACUGACGCUGAGGCUCGAAAGCAUGGGUAGCAAACAGGAUUAGAUACCCUGGUAGUCCAUGCCGUAAACGAUGAUUACUAGGUGU
rnacentral:rRNA from 1 species